ensembl:misc_RNA Metazoa_SRP Metazoan signal recognition particle RNA
GCCAGGCAUGGUGGCUCAUGCCUGUAAUCCCAGCACUUUGGGAGGCUGAGGCAGGUGGAUCACCUGAGCUCAGGAGUUUGAGACCACCCUGGGCAACAUGGUGAAACCCUGUCUCUA